rnacentral:rRNA from 1 species
GUGAAGCGGUAAAAGCUCAAAUUUGAAAUCUGGUACUUUCAGUGCCCGAGUUGYAAUUUGYAGAAUUUGUCUUUGAUUAGGUCCUUGUCUAUGUUCCUUGGAACAGGACGUCAUAGAGGGUGAGAAUCCCGUUUGGCGAGGAUACCUUUUCUCUGUAAGACUUUUUCGAAGAGUCGAGUUGUUUGGGAAUGCAGCUCAAAGUGGGUGGUAAAUUCCAUCUAAAGCUAAAUAUUGGCGAGAGACCGAUAGCGAACAAGUACAGUGAUGGAAAGAUGAAAAGAACUUUGAAAAGAGAGUGAAAAAGUACGUGAAAUUGUUGAAAGGGAAGGGCAUUUGAUCAGACAUGGUGUUUUUUGCAUGCACUCGCCUCUCGUGGGCUUGGGCCUCUCAAAAAUUUCACUGGGCCAACAUCAAUUCUGGCAGCAGGAUAAAUCAUUAAGAAUGUAGCUACUUCGGUAGUGUUAUAGCUUUUUGGAAUACUGUUAGCCGGGAUUGAGGACUGCGCUUCSGCAAGGAUGUUGGCAUAAUGGUUAA